rnacentral:tRNA from 1 species
GCCUGGCUAGUUCAGUCGGUAGAACACACAACUCUUGAUCUUGGGGUUAUGAGUUCAAGCCCCAUGUUGGACA